UUGAGAGCUUGCUUUUGAUUAUUUUAGCGGCGGACGGGUGAGUAACGUGUGGGCAACUUACCUUUUACUGUGGAAUAAUCGUUGGAAACGACGACUAAUACCGCAUACGGUUCUUGGAAGGCAUCUUCUAAGAAAGAAAGGAGUAAUUCGGUAAAAGAUGAGCCCGCAUCUGAUUAGCUAGUUGGUGAGAUAAUAGCCCACCAAGGCAACGAUCAGUAGCCGACCUGAGAGGGUGACCGGCCACAUUGGGACUGAGACACGGCCCAAACUCCUACGGGAGGCAGCAGUGGGGAAUAUUGCACAAUGGGCGAAAGCCUGAUGCAGCAACGCCGCGUGAAGGAAGACGGUUUUCGGAUUGUAAACUUCUAUCAAUAGGGAAGAAAGAAAUGACGGUACCUAAAUAAGAAGCCCCGGCUAACUACGUGCCAGCAGCCGCGGUAAUACGUAGGGGGCAAGCGUUAUCCGGAAUUACUGGGUGUAAAGGGAGAGUAGGCGGCAAGGUAAGCGAUAUGUGAAAGCCUUAAGCUUAACUUAAGGAUGGCAUAACGAACUAUCUAGCUAGAGUACAGGAGAGGAAAGCGGAAUUCCUAGUGUAGCGGUGAAAUGCGUAGAUAUUAGGAAGAACACCAGUGGCGAAGGCGGCUUUCUGGACUGAAACUGACGCUGAGGCUCGAAAGCGUGGGGAGCGAACAGGAUUAGAUACCCUGGUAGUCCACGCUGUAAACGAUGAGUGCUAGGUGUCGGGGAGGAAUUCCCGGUGCCGGAGCAAACGCAAUAAGCACUCCACCUGGGGAGUACGACCGCAAGGUUGAAACUCAAAGGAAUUGACGGGGGCCCGCACAAGCG
rnacentral:rRNA from 1 species